AUUACCGGCCAUACCGAAAGGGAAACACCUGGACUCAUUCCGAACCCAGAAGUUAAGCCUUUCAGGGUUUGGUCUGGCAGUGACUUUUUAGUUGCAGCCUGCCUGGCGCUGGUAAUC
rnacentral:rRNA from 1 species